AUGGGAUUUUUCUGGGAUGGGAUUUUUCUGGGAUGGGAUUUUUCUGGGAUGGGAUUUUUCCUGCUGCAGGUGAAGGGUCCCAAAGGUGCGAUCCCGAAAUUCCUUCAUGCGGAAGCUGAGCAGGGGGAUCCUGCCAAUUCCAGAGGUUUUUUUUUGUUUUUUUUUCCCCAAAUUCCUCUUCCCCUUAAGGAAUUCCUCAGCUCAUCCAACACUACAGCCCCAAUUCCUCGCGGCGGGAAAAUCCAAGGAAAACGGAAUUCCUGGCAGAGAGGAUCCGAAUUUGAUCCUGGGAAUUUCCUUCCCCACCCAUGGGAGCUGCAGAUCCCUAAUUCCCAAAUUAGGGAAGGCUCAGAAAUCCAGGGAAAUCAGGAACUUUUUGGGAUUGGAAAUUCCUCCCCAAGGAGAGCAGGAGUUUUCCAAGGCCAGAAUUCCUAUCCAAGGAAAUCAGGAACUUUUUGGGAUUGGAAAUCCCAAUCCAGGGAAAGUGGAGAUUCCCAAGGUCAGAAUUCCUAUCCAAGGAAAUCAGGAAAUUUUUGGGAUUGGGAAUUCCUGUCCAUGGAAAUCAGGAGCUUCCCAAGGUCAGAAACCCUAUCCAGGGAAUUCAGGAAUUUUUUGGGAUUGGGAAUCCCAAUCCAGGAGAAGUGGGAGCUUCCCAAGGUCAGAAAUCCCUGUCCAAGGAAAUCAGGAACUUUUUGGGAUUGGGAAUUCCUGUCCUGGGAAUUCAGGAAUUUUUUGGGAUUGGGAAUCCCUAUCCAGGGGAAGUGGAGAUUCCCAAGGUCAGAAAUCUGGAUUGAAGGAAAUCCGGAGUUCCUUGGGAUUGGGAAUCCCUAUCCAGGGAAAUGGGGAACUUUUUGGGAUUGGGAAUCCUCCUCCAGGAAAAGUGGGAGCUUCCCAAGGUCAGAAUCCAUAUCCAAGGAAAUCAGGGGUUCCUUGGGAUUGGGAACGCGUGUCCAGGGAAAUCGGGGACGCUUUGGGAUUGGGAAUGUCUAUCCAGAGAUAUCAGGACCGUUUUGGGAUCGGGAAUCCCUCCAGAGGGAAAAAACGGGAUCUCCUUGGGGGUUGGGAAAUCCCAAAGCAGAGGAGCCAGGAGCUUCCCAGGCUCCUUUUCCCCGGAGCGAUCCCACAUUCUCCCCUCCUCUUUUUCCCGGUUUUCCUUGGAUUUCUCCCCGAGUUCCCUCCUUUUUCCCCCCCCCGCUGUACAUUUCGGACGAGGCGUUCAUCCCAAAUAAACUUUUUUUGGAAAGGGAGCGGAGUUUUCCUUGGAAAACCGCGGGGUCUCCGUCAAUCGGCCCCUCCCAGCGAUCCCAGUCAUUCCCAGUUUGGAGGCUCGGCUGGCUCUGCUUGGGAAUUUCCCUCCUGGAAAAGCUCCCAGAGGAUUUCCCAGCGUUUUGAUUCCCGGUAAAAAGAACCCAAAAGGGAUUUUCUCCUUUUUUUUUUCGUUUUUUUGUUUUUUUGUUUCCCCUUUUAAGUGGGAAUUCCCCCAAAAGCUGCUCCGGCAGCUCCACGUCCAUUCCCAGCUCAUGGAUGUCAUCCCUGAUCCGAAUCUUUGGGAUUUCCUCCUUCCUGCUUUUCCUUGGAUGCAGAGCCCGCCCUGCCUGCGUUGGCAGGCUCAGCACCUCACUCCCAUCCCUCUUCCCAAUCCCAAUCCCAUUUAAUGCCAUUCCCAAUCCCAAUCCUAUUCCCAUUCUCAUUCCCAAUCCUGUUCCCAAUCCCAGUCUCAUUCUCAUUUCCGUUCCCAAUCCCAUUCCCACCCCCAGUUCCAAUCCCAAUCCCAUUCCCAUUCCCAAUCCCAAUCCUGUUCCCAAUCCCAGUCUCAUUCUCAAUUCCGUUCCCAAUCCCAUUAUCCAAUCCCAAUGCCAUUCCCAAUGCCAUUCCCAAUCCCAAUCCUAUUCCUGUUCCCAUUCCCAUUCCCAGUCCAAUUCCCCAUCCUGCCCCACUGCACUCUCCCAUUCCCACCCUCCCAUCCUGCCCCAUUCCCAUCCCCUCACUCCCGAUCCCAUCCAGCCAUUCCCACCCCAUUCCCUCUCCCCCAUUCCCAUUCCCACCCCAUUCCCUCUCCCCCAUUCCCAUUCCCACCCCAUUCCCUCUCCCCCAUUCCCAUUCCCACCCCAUUCCCACCCCAUUUUGUCUUCCCCAUUCCC
ensembl:lncRNA